rnacentral:rRNA from 1 species
CAUACACGCGCGCAGCCUGAUGCAGCAUGCCGCGUGAGUGAUGAAGGCCUUCGGGUUGUAAAGCUCUUUUGUCCGGAAAGAAAUCGACGUUACUAGUAUUAGGUGCGCAUGACGGUUCCGGGCCAAUAAGGCCCGGGUAAUAACAUGCCAGCAGCCGCGGUAAUAA